CCCAGUAUGGUGUAGCGGUCCGAACAUUGGACUAUGACUCUGGAAAUCAGAGUUCGAUUCCCUGCUGGGC